rnacentral:misc_RNA from 1 species
GAACUGCGAUAAGUAAUGUGAAUUGCAGAAUUCAGUGAAUCAUCGAGUCUUUGAACGCACAUUGCGCCCCCUGGCAUUCCGGGGGGCAUGCCUGUCCGAGCGUCAUUGCUGCCCUUCAAGCCCGGCUUGUGUGUUGGGUCGUCGUCCCCUCCGGGGGACGGGCCCGAAAGGCAGCGGCGGCACCGCGUCCGGUCCUCGAGCGUAUGGGGCUUUGUCACCCGCUCGAUAAGGACCGGCCGGGCGCCAGCCGGCAUCUCCAACCUUUUUUUCUCAGGUUGACCUCGGAUCAGGUAGGGAUACCCGCUGAACUUAAGC